ACGGGGUGCAGCAGGCGCGAAACCUUGGCAAUGUGCGAAAGCACGACCAGGUUAAUCCGAGUGUUUCCUGCUAAAGGAAUCUUUCGUUAGUUUUUAAAGCACUAUCGAAUAAGGGGUGGGCAAGUUCUGGUGUCAGCCGCCGCGGUAAAACCAGCACCUCGAGUGGUCAGGAGGUUUAUUGGGCCUAAAGCAUCCGUAGCCGGCUGUCCAAGUCUUCGGUUAAAUCCAUCUGCUCAACAGAUGGGCCGCCGGAGAUACUAGACAGCUAGGGAGUGGAAGAGGUGGAUGGUACUCGAUGGGAAGGGGUAAAAUCCUUUGAUCCAUUGAAGACCACCUGUGGCGAAGGCGGUCCACCAGAACAUGUCCGACGGUGAGGGAUGAAAGCUGGGGGAGCAAACCGGAUUAGAUACCCGGGUAGUCCCAGCCGUAAACGAUGCAAACUCAGUGUUGCAUUGGCAUGUAGCCAAUGCAGUGCCGCAGGGAAGCCGUUAAGUUUGCCGCCUGGGAAGUACGUUCGCAAGAAUGAAACUUAAAGGAAUUGGCGGGGGAGCACCACAAGGGGUGAAGCCUGCGGUUCAAUUGGAUUCAACGCCGG
rnacentral:rRNA from 1 species